GUCAGGGCUUGGCUGUAGUAACUUACUGUACCCUUACUGUCAAGGCCUGGCUGUAGGAACUGUUAACUGUUUCCUUACUGUCAGGUCGUAGCUGUAGUAAGUGUAACUGUACCCUUACUGUCAGGACAUAGCUGUAGUAACUGUAACUGUACCCUUACUGUCAGGACAUAGCUGUAGUAACUGUUACUGUAUGCUUACUGUCAGGACAUAGCUGUAGUAACUGUUACUGUACCCUUACUGUCAAGGCCUGGCUGUAGUAACUGAUACUGUUUCCUUACUGUCAGGGCCUAGCUGUAGUAACUGUUACUGUACCCUUACUGUUAGGGCCUGGCUGUAGUAACUGUUACUGUAUGCUUACUGCCAGGUCCUGGCUGUGCAGGAGUUUUUGCCCACCUUGAGGCUGUUGUGCGGGCCGGCGGGUUUGUCGUGACGUUCCAGGGAACAGUGUACCGGGCCUCCGCAAUCAGGAUGGUGGAUGGCAAGCCUGUGCAGAGACCCCCUGCGGCCGUUGCCGUGGUGAUGGGCGUGGUCGGCGGAUUGUUGCUGUUGGUUCUGGCAGUCGUCCUGAUCUUCUUCUGCAAGGCCAAGACUCCCCGCACGGUCGCCCCGGAAACGGCUAGCAGGGCCAGCAGUAUCACGUUACAACGCUUCUAGCACUGGAGACAUGUAGCAGGGCCAGCAGUAUCACGUUACAACGCUUGUAGCACUGGAGACAUCUAGCAGAGCCUGCAGUAUUGCAUUACAACACUUCCAGCACUGGAGACACCUAACAGAGCCUGCAGUAUCACGUGACAACGUUUCUAGGGCCUGCAGUAUCACGUUACAAUAUUUCCAGCACUGGAGAUACCUAGCCGGGCCAGCAUUAUCAUGUUACAAUGCUUCUAGCACAAGAGACACCUAGCAGGGCCAGCAGUAUCACAUUACAACGCUUCUAGCACUGGAGACACCUAGUAGGGCCUGCAGUAUCACGUUACAAUACUUCAAGCACUGGGGAUGCCUAGCAGGGUCAGCAGUAUCACAUUACAACACUUCCAGCACUUGAGAUGCCUAGCAUGCAAAUGCAGGCUUAAGGAACCUGUAAGUCCUCAGCAGAGAAUUCUCAGGAAAAGGGUGAUGUUUUACCCUGUGAGUGUGAGGAAGGACCAUGACACAGGAAUUCUCUGUUAUGAAUUCUGAUGCAGUAAAUGUUUGUAAUUUGUGUGUAGUUUCUAGCCAUGUAAAUGUAUGCAAUAUGUGUGUAGGUUCUAGCCAUAUUAUAAUUAUUAUUCAGUAAUAUUUAAAUUGAAUCUGCAGUCCACUGUUUUGCAAUUAAGUAGUGUCAAUUCUAUAUAUCUAUAUACAGAUAUAAAGUUAUGAUAAGUAUGUGUGCUAAGAUGGGGCAUGGUGACCCUUAGAUACGUGCUAUAGAGUUUUAGAACCUCUUUACUAAACUAAGUUACUGGCAGGCAUCAGUGCAGUAGUUUUUCUUUAAAUUGAUCACUGAUAUGUUGACAUCUACAUGUACCUUUUAUAUGAUGAACAAUAUACAGUUUAAGGUAUAUAAUUACAAACAUAUAUAUAUUUAUGUAUUGGAAGGAUCUUUUGAAGAAAUCUAUAUUUUCAUGUUUAUACAUGUAUGAGCAAUGAGAUUACUUAAUACUAAUAUGUGAUAUUUUAUGUACACAAGUGUUAUGAGAUCAUGACAGAAAUGAGUCAAUACAAUAUGUUUCAGUA